rnacentral:rRNA from 1 species
AUACGUAGGGGGCGAGCGUUGUCCGGAGUGAUUGGGCGUAAAGGGCGCGUAGGCGGCCCGGUAAGUCUGGAGUGAAAGUCCUGUUUUUAAGAUGGGAAUUGCUUUGGAUACUGUCGGGCUUGAGUGCAGGAGAGGUAAGUGGAAUUCCCAGUGUAGCGGUGAAAUGCGUAGAGAUUGGGAGGAACACCAGUGGCGAAGGCGACUUACUGGACUGUAACUGACGCUGAGGCGCGAAAGUGUGGGGAGCAAACAGGAUUAGAUACCCUGGUAGUCCACACUGUAAACGAUGAAUGCUAGGUGUAGGGGGUAUCGACCCCUUCUGUGCCGCAGUCAACACAAUAGGCAUUCCGCCUGGGGAGUACGGCCGCAAGGUUGAAACUCAAAGGAAUUGACGGGG